GGACGAACGCUGGCGGCGUGCCUAAUACAUGCAAGUCGAACGCACUGACGUCGACCGAAGCUGCUUGCAGUGGACGUUGAUUGACGUGAGUGGCGGACGGGUGAGUAACACGUGGGUAACCUACCCUUAAGUGGGGGAUAACAUUUGGAAACAGAUGCUAAUACCGCAUAACCAUUCAGACCACAUGGUCUGAAUGUAAAAGACGGCCUUUGGCUGUCACUUUUGGACGGACCCGCGGCGUAUUAGUUAGUUGGUAAGGUAACGGCUUACCAAGACAAUGAUACGUAGCCGACCUGAGAGGGUAAUCGGCCACAUUGGGACUGAGACACGGCCCAAACUCCUACGGGAGGCAGCAGUAGGGAAUCUUCCACAAUGGACGAAAGUCUGAUGGAGCAACGCCGCGUGAGUGAAGAAGGUUUUAGGAUCGUAAAACUCUGUUGUUGGAGAAGAACAAGGACUAGAGUAACUGUUAGUCCUUUGACGGUAUCCAACCAGAAAGCCACGGCUAACUACGUGCCAGCAGCCGCGGUAAUACGUAGGUGGCAAGCGUUGUCCGGAUUUAUUGGGCGUAAAGCGAGCGCAGCGGUUUUUUAAGUCUGAUGUGAAAGCCUUCGGCUUAACCGAAGAAGUGCAUUAGAAACUGGAAAACUUGAGUGCAGAAGAGGACAGUGGAACUCCAUGUGUAGCGGUGAAUGCGUAGAUAUAUGGAAGACACCAGUGGCGAAGGCGGCUGUCUGGUCUGUAACUGACGCUGAGGCUCGAAAGUAUGGGGAGCGAACAGGAUUAGAUACCCUGGUAGUCCAUACCGUAAACGAUGAAUGCUAAGUGUUGGAGGGUUUCCGCCCUUCAGUGCUGCAGCUAACGCAUUAAGCAUUCCGCCUGGGGAGUACGACCGCAAGGUUGAAACUCAAAGGAAUUGACGGGGGCCCGCACAAGCGGUGGAGCAUGUGGUUUAAUUCGAAGCAACGCGAAGAACCUUACCAGGUCUUGACAUCCUUUGACCACUGUAGAGAUACAGCUUUCCCUUCGGGGACAAAGUGACAGGUGGUGCAUGGUUGUCGUCAGCUCGUGUCGUGAGAUGUUGGGUUAAGUCCCGCAACGAGCGCAACCCUUAUGACUAGUUGCCAGCAUUUAGUUGGGCACUCUAGUAAGACUGCCGGUGACAAACCGGAGGAAGGUGGGGAUGACGUCAAAUCAGCAUGCCCCCUAUGACCUGGGCUACACACGUGCUACAAUGGUCGGUACAACGAGUUGCGAACCCGCGAGGGUAAGCUAAUCUCUUAAAGCCGAUCUCAGUUCGGAUUGUAGGCUGCAACUCGCCUACAUGAAGCCGGAAUCGCUAGUAAUCGCGGAUCAGCACGCCGCGGUGAAUACGUUCCCGGGCCUUG
rnacentral:rRNA from 1 species